rnacentral:rRNA from 1 species
UACGGAGGGUGCGAGCGUUGUCCGGAAUCAUUGGGCGUAAAGCGCGCGUAGGUGGCCCAGUAAGUCCGUUCUGAAAGUCACAGGCUCAACCUGUGAAAGCGGAUGGAUACUGCUGGGCUAGAGUCCGGAAGAGGCGAGUGGAAUUCCUGGUGUAGCGGUGGAAUGCGCAGAUAUCAGGAGGAACACCAACGGCGAAGGCAGCUCGCUGGGACGGUACUGACACUAAGGCGCGAAAGCGUGGGGAGCGAACAGG